rnacentral:rRNA from 1 species
GACGAACGCUGGCGGCGUGCUUAACACAUGCAAGUCGAACGGAAAGGCCCUGCUUUUGUGGGGUGCUCGAGUGGCGAACGGGUGAGUAACACGUGAGUAACCUGCCCUUGACUUUGGGAUAACUUCAGGAAACUGGGGCUAAUACCGGAUAGGAGCUCCUGCUGCAUGGUGGGGGUUGGAAAGUUUCGGCGGUUGGGGAUGGACUCGCGGCUUAUCAGCUUGUUGGUGGGGUAGUGGCUUACCAAGGCUUUGACGGGUAGCCGGCCUGAGAGGGUGGCCGGCCACAUUGGGACUAAGAUACGGCCCAGACUCCUACGGGAGGCAGCAGUGGGGAGUAUUGCACAAUGGGCGGAAGCCUGAUGCAGCAACGCCGCGUGCGGGAUGACGGCCUUCGGGUUGUAAACCGCUUUCGCCUGUGACGAAGCGUGAGUGACGGUAAUGGGUAAAGAAGCACCGGCUAACUACGUG